rnacentral:rRNA from 1 species
GAUGAACGCUGGCGGCGUGCUUAACACAUGCAAGUCGAACGGGAAAUACUUUAUUGAAACUUCGGCGGAUUUAAUUUAUUUCUAGUGGCGGACGGGUGAGUAACGCGUGGGUAACCUGCCUUAUACUGGGGGAUAACAGCCAGAAAUGGCUGCUAAUACCGCAUAAGCGCACAGAACCGCAUGGUUCGGUGUGAAAAACUCCGGUGGUAUAAGAUGGACCCGCGUUGGAUUAGCUAGUUGGCAGGGCAGCGGCCUACCAAGGCGACGAUCCAUAGCCGGCCUGAGAGGGUGAACGGCCACAUUGGGACUGAGACACGGCCCAGACUCCUACGGGAGGCAGCAGUGGGGAAUAUUGCACAAUGGGGGAAACCCUGAUGCAGCGACGCCGCGUGAAGGAAGAAGUAUCUCGGUAUGUAAACUUCUAUCAGCAGGGAAGAUAAUGACGGUAC